rnacentral:lncRNA from 10 species
AAAAAAGUCCUUUGCCUAAAGAACAUACAUGCUUCUUCUUGAAUUCUUGCAGACAAACUGUUUGUUAGAACUUUGAUGAGUUGGGAAUGUAUUACAGCAGCUGUCACUGGGUUAACCAUGUGAUUGCUCCUACAGAUGUAGUUGCUUGUCUGAGUGCAUUUCCCGGGAGAGGGGAGUAGGCAAGCCGGAAGGUAGGAAAGCUGUCCAGGCUACUUCUUGUCUGAGCUCCACUGCUUUCCGGCCUUGAGAUAGGAGCUUGCCCAGGGUACUUGGCCUAUUUGGUUAAGUUGUCAGUGUUUGUUGGUGAAUUUUCAUUAAAAUGAAGAGAGGCUGUUGAAGAAAUCAUGGCAUACCGGGGUCAUCAAUCAGUUAGGAGGUGGCCAGGUCUUCCAAGGAAAUCGGGAUGUCAGGAGUCACUGGAACUCCAGUCUUUCAGGUCAAAUCUCUGAGCACUUGUGGCAGCUGAAGGAAAUUAUUAUAUUAAGACAGCCAAGGAUAAAGGAUUCCCUGGAGAAACUCUGAGUGGCCUGAGCACUGGGAGAAUGGAGUGGAGCCAUGGAAGCUUGUGCUGUUUGCAGUGGGGAGGAACCUGGCCUCUCCUGAUCUGGGGUGGGAACCUGGGAUUCAAUCUGUGAGGCAGGAAGCCUACUAACAGCACUCUCGCUUUGCUGAGAGUACCUGUUUCCAUUUUUUUCCUUUUUU